AACGAACGCUGGCGGCGUGCUUAACACAUGCAAGUCGAACGGAUUUAUAAGUUGUAGCAAUACAAUAUAUAGAUUAGUGGCGCACGGGUGAGGAACACGUAGACAAUCUACCCUAGAGUGGGGGACAACAGAGGGAAACUUCUGCUAAUACCGCAUAAGCUCACGAACUGGGAUGUUAGUGAGAAAAGUAGCAAUACGCUUUAGGAUGAGUCUGCGGCCUAUCAGGUAGUUGGUGAGGUAGAGGCUCACCAAGCCAAAGACGGGUAGCCGGUCUAAGAGCACGAACGGCCACACUGGAACUGAGACACGGUCCAGACUCCUACGGGAGGCUG
rnacentral:rRNA from 1 species